AUGCACUGCAGCUUUUUCCGGCGAGAUGCUCCCCGACGCCAUGCUCGUGCGGCUCCUGCCUCCCAACGGCUGCGGCGCUCGCAUGCCACCUCCCUCUCCCAUGGAUACGGCGAGGUAGUGUGGUGGGGCGGUGCUACAAUGGGAACAACGGAGGCCAUGGACGAGGCUUGCCAUUGGGUGAUGGAGAAAACACUUUCGGUGCUACAACCGGUUAGUUUUUUGCUGGAACCGACUGGACAAAAAGCUGCAACCACCUGCUUCUGGUGGUGGAGAUGGCGGUCUCCGAUGCUGCAACCAAUGUUUGUUUUUGCUGGAACCAGCCGGCAAAAAAGUUGCAUCCACACAUGCCCGGUGCUGGACCUGGACGACGAUAAGGGUCGUUUUGCUGGCACCCGCUUUUUGUUUUGCUACAAGCGACAAUUUUUAUUGCUGGAUUCGGUGUGGUUCAUUUGGUGUGACCAUCGGUGGAGAUGCAUAUUUUGCUGA
rnacentral:rRNA from 1 species